rnacentral:rRNA from 1 species
UACAUGGGGUGCAAACGUUGCUCGGAAUUAUUGGGCGUAAAGCGCGCGUAGGCGGUUACUUAAGUCGGAUGUGAAAGCCCUCGGCUUAACUGAGGAAGUGCACCCGAAACUGAGUAGCUAGAGUACGAAAGAGGGUCGCGGAAUUCCCGGUGUAGAGGUGAAAUUCGCAGAUAUCAGGAGGAACACCGGUGGCGAAGGCGGUUCUCUGGGCAUGACCUGACGCUGAGGAGCGAAAGUGUGGGGAGCGAACAGG